ACUAUUGCCCUUCUUGUCCCUCCACCCCCAACCACUGAACUGGCAGGUCCUGGAGGCAUGAACUCUUUCUCACUGUGGCCACUCCAGCAUUUAGCUCAGAGCAUCUGCUCUCUGUGCAGGAGAACAAGCUUAUGAUACUAUAGAAGAAUGAGAGAUCACCUGGGCAAAUAUAAGACAUUUUAGAUGAUCCAUAAUAGAAUUACUAACUUCCAGUCUGUCUGCCAGCUCCACAAAGACACAAGAGCAAAGCCAGGUCCCCAAGGGAAGUAUACAUACAAUACAACUAAAACACAACAAAGAAGCAUUCUACUCUGCGUUUACCAUGCACUCUAAAGUGGAAUGUCAAGACACUAAGCGAAAGCAUACUUUAUUUUAAAUGUUAGAUAUGCUGCUAUGUUUUGUACAAUCAAAUACUUAUGAGACCUGUUCUCUCCAUUUGUCCUAGUGAGGCGGGAAAUUAAAGAAAAAUAAAAUUAAAAAGAAAGAGAAAUAAGUUUUCCCAUAUUAGGCUAACUUGUCCCAGAGGCAGCAACAGGCACAGCCUAG